AUGCAGUUUUCUGGGACCAGCUUUUUAACCGUGGACUUUCCAUGGAAGAUGGAUACAUACAUCUGCCUUAUUCGGUGUUGCCGUUCACUCUCACCCUCCCAUGGAGAUGUCGCCGACAAUGCUGCCACACAUGUCCCUGCAAUCGUCACCCCCAUCCUCAUGUCUAGAGGUGAUUUGUUGGAAAUCAUACAUACAGAUGUAGCAAGUUGCUACUCAAGUGAAGAAGCGUUUCAUGCAGAUGGUGCCCAUCGACACUGCUACCUUCCGAAGGUUGUCAUGCUAUGGAUUGACAACCAUGGGCGUGUUUCUUCCAUGCGCUGUAGAGCAGGUGGAGGAGGAGAAGGGGCCAGCCCGAGCUGGACGACAGAGUGUUUUCGGAGGCGGAGGAGAGGACCAACAAUAGCAGUGACACGGUGGUGUCUAGCAGGGUGA
rnacentral:rRNA from 1 species